AUACAUUUCUCUAUAGGUUAGUGUGUGUAACAAAUAAAACUGAAUAAAUCAAGAGAUGUCUUUAAGAUACAAACAGGUUGUAAGUCAUUUAAUGGUAUUCAUUCUGUAAAUACUUUCCGAUAGAUGACAUUACACAUCGUGCGUAUGUAUAUAGACCUUUGCCAAAAGACAAAGCUAACCUAGAGCUUGAUACAAACAAAGACAGAUUUAAUCUCAGCACCGUUUCCAACAGCACGGUUUAACACACACCAUUGCUUCAAAAACCUCAAAUGGUUUAUCUUUCAACCCUAACUAUCUCCAAACAUUGAACUUGCCAAGGGUAAAAGCCUACUGAUAACACACAGGAUUUACACAGCUGCUUACAUAGUAGGUCAGUUCACAAAUCUCUCCCAUUGCUGGUUAAACAAUGUCAUUUUACAUCAAAGAACUUUUUAAUAUCUUUUCAUUUUAAAAAACACAUUUACUUAAAAAAAAAAUGGGCCAGUGAUUAAUGACAUAUGAAGCUAAAUGUUAUUUGCUUUGUAGAAAUGUAAAAAGCCUUCCUGAGAUCAUGUUGCUGGAUAUCAGCAAUCACAUCCUGUCUCAAUAGAGCUGGGAACAGGAUACGGAGCAGGCAUCCCAAAUUGUACCCCAUUGCCUAUAUAGUGCACUACUUUUGACUAAGGCUGUGGUUAAAAGUUGUACACUAUAGGAAAAAGAGAGCCAUUCGGGACCAAGAGAGACUAACUAGAUGGGCCCACCCAGCUUGAACUAAAUACAAUGCAGAAUCAACAAAGUUUCAGUUUUACUGCUAAACAAAUUCUAGACACUUUAAAAUGUCAGAGAUAGUUUAAAAGGAGCUUGUAGUGGUGGAAUGAUCACAGUGCUAGUCUCAGUUCGAUACAUUUCUACACUCACACACCUCAACUACAAACUGGAUAUUUGACUUAUCACAAUAUUACACUUGAAAUGACCCAUAGGUUGUCCCAUUGAAAAUCAAAUAUAUAAUUUACACAAAAUAAAAUAAAAACAAAUAUACAAGCCAGCCAAAACAAAAUCAGCUAAUUCUGGAAUGCCAUAUCAGAUCAGAAGAAUCAUUGUGAGACAGUCGGCGGUAAAAAGACGCUUCCUUCAAACCAAGCAGCCGUUAGCCAGCCGUAAAGCCUGCCGUUAGCCAGCCGUAAAGCCAGCCGUUAGCCAGCCGUAAAGCCAGCCGUAAAGCCAGCCGUUAGCCAGCCGUAAAGCCAGCCGUAAAGCCUGCCGUUAGCCAGCCGUAAAGCCUGCAGUUAGCCAGCCGUAAAGCCUGCAGUUAGCCAGCCGUAAAGCCAGCCGUAAAGCCUGCUGUAAAGCCAGCCGUAAAGCCUGCCGUUAGCCAGCCGUAAAGCCUGCCGUUAGCCAGCCGUAAAGCCUGCCGUUAGCCUGCCGUAAAGCCUGCCGUUAGCCAGCCGUAAAGCCUGCCGUUAGCCAGCCGUAAAGCCUGUCGUUUCAGUGAGGCUACAUCAUCUUUGCAUUUCCAAUGCCCAUCAGUAGUACUAGCACUGAAGACAUGUCAGUUUUUAAAACACAGGUACUCUGGAACAGGGUUGGGGGUCAAUUCCAUUACAAAUCAAGUCAAUUCUAAUAGUUUUCUGAAUUUCCAUAAACAUUUCCAAACUGAAAUUCCAUGAAAUUUAACUUCCUGAAAUGGCUGACUUUAAAUUGAAUUUAGAAGAACUGCUGUAGAACAAAGAGCUGCAACCCACAGAGAUACUAUAUUAGAAACAUCUUCCCCAAAACAAGGCAGAUUGAAAUACUAUAGGGAAUUUGCAAUAAAUAGAAAAACGUCCUGUAUUAAACCUCAUAAGGCAUUAUACAUGGCAUUAUAAUGCAUUAUACAUAGCUCAUAAGGCAUUAUAAUGCAUUAUACAUAGCUCAUAAGGCAUCAUAAUACAUUAUACAUAGCUCAUAAGGCAUUAUAAUGCAUUAUGGAUGCACUUAUAAUACAAUAUACAUAGCUCAUAAGGCAUUAUAAUGCAUUAUACAUAGCUCAUAAGGCAUUAUAAU
ensembl:lncRNA